GCCGGCGGGAGCCCCAGGGAG
rnacentral:miRNA from 1 species